UACGAAGGGAGCUAGCGUUGUUCGGAAUUACUGGGCGUAAAGGGCGCGUAGGCGGCUUGGCAAGUUGGAUGUGAAAGCCCAGGGCUCAACCCUGGAAUUGCAUUCAAGACUGCCUUGCUUGAAUUCGGUAGAGGUUGGUGGAAUUCCCAGUGUAGAGGUGAAAUUCGUAGAGAUUGGGAAGAACACCCGUGGCGAAGGCGGCCAACUGGACCGACAUUGACGCUGAGGCGCGAAAGCGUGGGGAU
rnacentral:rRNA from 1 species